CUGACCGUGCAAAGGUAGCAUAAUCAUUAGUUUUUUAAUUGAAAACUAGAAUGAAUGGUUCGACAAAGGAAAGACUGUCUCUGUGUUAUGAAUAGAAUUUAACUUUUAAGUGAAAAGGCUUAAGUGUUUCAGAGGGACGAUAAGACCCUAUAAAGCUUUAUAUGCUGUUUAGAUUUAGUUAAAUUAUAAUCUCCAAAGAUUAAAUUUAAACUAGUUUAUUUUGUUGGGGCGACAAAGAUGUAAAUUUAAGUAACUGUUGUUUGUGAAGGAACAAAAAUGAUUGAGUUAGUCGUAAAAGAUCCUUAUUAAAGAUUAGAAGAAUAAGUUACUUUAGGGAUAACAGCGUAAUUUCUUUUGAGAGUUCAUAUCG
rnacentral:rRNA from 1 species